UCCGUUUGAUCCCGCCGGAGGCCACUGCUAUCGGAGUUCGAUUAAGCCAUGCGAGUCGAGAGGUGCAAGACCUCGGCAUACUGCUCAGUAACACGUGGACAAUCUGACCUAUGGAAGGGGAUAAUCCCGGGAAACUGGGGAUAAUACCCUAUAGACUAUGGAUGCUGGAAUGCACUGUAGUCGAAAGGUCCGCCGCCAUAGGAUGGGUCUGCGGCCGAUUAGGUAGUUGUUGGGGUAACGGCCCAACAAGCCUGUAAUCGGUACGGGUUGUGGGAGCAAGAGCCCGGAGAUGGAUUCUGAGACACGAAUCCAGGCCCUACGGGGCGCAGCAGGCGCGAAAACUUUACAAUGCGGGAAACCGUGAUAGGGGAACUCCGAGUGCCCGUAAAAUCGGGCUGUCCACCAGUUUAAACAACUGGUGAAGAAAGGGCCGGGCAAGACCGGUGCCAGCCGCCGCGGUAAUACCGGCGGCUCGAGUGGUGGCCACUAUUACUGGGCUU
rnacentral:rRNA from 1 species